rnacentral:rRNA from 1 species
UACGGAGGGAGCUAGCGUUGUUCGGAAUUACUGGGCGUAAAGCGCACGUAGGCGGCUUUCUAAGUCAGGGGUGAAAUCCCGGGGCUCAACCCCGGAACUGCCCUUGAAACUGGAUGGCUAGAAUCCUGGAGAGGCGAGUGGAAUUCCGAGUGUAGAGGUGAAAAUUCGUAGAUAUUCGGAAGAACACCAGUGGCGAAGGCGACUCGCUGGACAGGUAUUGACGCUGAGGUGCGAAAGCGUGGGGAGCAAACAGG